GAUGAACGCUAGCGGCAGGCUUAACACAUGCAAGUCGAGGGGUAGAAGGAGCUUGCUCCUUUGAGACCGGCGCACGGGUGCGUAACGCGUAUGCAAUCUACCUUUUGCAGAGGGAUAGCCCAGAGAAUUUGGAUUAAUACCUCAUAGUAUGUGAGGAUGGCAUCAUUUUCACAUUAAAGUCACAACGGCAAAAGAUGAGCAUGCGUCCCAUUAGCUAGUUGGUAAGGUAACGGCUUACCAAGGCUACGAUGGGUAGGGGUCCUGAGAGGGAGAUCCCCCACACUGGUACUGAGACACGGACCAGACUCCUACGGGAGGCAGCAGUGAGGAAUAUUGGUACAAUGGGCGCGAAGCCUCGAUCCAGCCAUGCCGCGUGCAGGA
rnacentral:rRNA from 1 species